GGGGAUUUAGCUCAGCGGUAGAGCACUUGCCUAGCAAGCACAAGGCCCUGGGUUCGGUCCUCAGCUCCA
rnacentral:tRNA from 1 species